rnacentral:rRNA from 1 species
AUGAACAUUGCUCUUCUAUCCCGUUGGCUCUGGCGCAUCGCGCAAGGGCAAGGUGGUAUCUGGCUCGACAUCAUCCGGAACAAGUACCUGCGUGGGCAACCGCUUGCCUUCUGUCAACAAUCUGGCGGCUCCCAAUUCUGGCAGUCUGUCAUCCAGUUGCUCCCGGUUCUUCGCAUCGGGACCUCCAUCUCGAUCGGCUCCAGGGCUGUGACUCUGUUCUGGUUUGACCAUUGGGCCGGAGACACCCCCUUCGCCGCACGCUUCCCCGACCUCUUCUCCAUUGCAGUGGACCCCAGGAUCUCCGUCGAGAGUGCCCUUAUUGACUUAGGGCACCUCGCUUUCCGACGACCAUUUGGGCCUCCAGAUCUUGUGGCUUGGCACGAAUUGCUUGAUUGCAUUGCCCUCCAUGAGCCUGAUGUGGACUUCGUGUCUGACCAUGUAGCUUGGCGCCUGGAUCCGUCAGGAAUCUUCUCCACCAAGUCCCUUUACCAGGCCAUUGCCCCCUCCACCACACCUCUUCCUCUUACGGCGGAAUGGUCCAUUCGCCUACCUCUGAAGAUUAGGAUCUUCAUGUGUCAAUGGAUUCGUGGCUGGACCCCGUCCGGCGUGGAGGUCCCUAAGCGCAAUGGUCCGGGUAAUGGACUUUGCCCUCUUGGUGGCGUUCUGGAAGACUCGAAUCACAUUUUCUUCUCCUGCGUGUCCGCCCAAUUCCUUUGGAGUUGCUUUCGGGAGGCGGUUGGCGGCCUUUGGUGCCACACCAAUUUCCCCGACAUGUUCGCUGAACUUCAGCCCCCCCUGCGCACUCUUCACAUUAGGUGGCUGGAGAUUGGGGUCCUCGCCUGGACUCUGUGGAUGGUCCAUAAUAGACUUGUGAUUCAGCGCAUUCCGCUCCGACGUGCUACUAACGCUCUCCUCAAUCUGUCUAGUUACUUGCAGCUUUGGCGGCCGCUUAGCCGCCCCUAG